CCGGUUUAAGCGUGUAGGUGUGUGUUCCAGGUAAAUCCGGUUCACUUUAACACUGAGGCGUGAUGACGAGGCACUACGGUGCUGAAGCAACAAAUGCCCUGCUUCCAGGAAAAGCCUCUAAGCAUCAGGUAACAUCAAAUCGUACCCCAAACCGACACAGGUGGUCAGGUAGAGAAUACCAAGGCGCUUGAGAGAACUCGGGUGAAGGAACUAGGCAAAAUGGUGCCGUAACUUCGGGAGAAGGCACGCUGACACGUAGGUGAAGUGAUUUACUCAUGGAGCUGAAGUCAGUCGAAGAUACCAGCUGGCUGCAACUGUUUAUUAAAAACACAGCACUGUGCAAACACGAAAGUGGACGUAUACGGUGUGACGCCUGCCCGGUGCCGGAAGGUUAAUUGAUGGGGUCAGCGCAAGCGAAGCUCCUGAUCGAAGCCCCGGUAAACGGCGGCCGUAACUAUAACGGUCCUAAGGUAGCGAAAUUCCUUGUCGGGUAAGUUCCGACCUGCACGAAUGGCGUAAUGAUGGCCAGGCUGUCUCCACCCGAGACUCAGUGAAAUUGAACUCGCUGUGAAGAUGCAGUGUACCCGCGGCAAGACGGAAAGACCCCGUGAACCUUUACUAUAGCUUGACACUGAACAUUGAGCCUUGAUGUGUAGGAUAGGUGGGAGGCUUUGAAGUGUGGACGCCAGUCUGCAUGGAGCCGACCUUGAAAUACCACCCUUUAAUGUUUGAUGUUCUAACGUGGACCCGUAAUCCGGGUUGCGGACAGUGUCUGGUGGGUAGUUUGACUGGGGCGGUCUCCUCCUAAAGAGUAACGGAGGAGCACGAAGGUUGGCUAAUCCUGGUCGGACAUCAGGAGGUUAGUGCAAUGGCAUAAGCCAGCUUGACUGCGAGCGUGACGGCGCGAGCAGGUGCGAAAGCAGGUCAUAGUGAUCCGGUGGUUCUGAAUGGAAGGGCCAUCGCUCAACGGAUAAAAGGUACUCCGGGGAUAACAGGCUGAUACCGCCCAAGAGUUCAUAUCGACGGCGGUGUUUGGCACCUCGAUGUCGGCUCAUCACAUCCUGGGGCUGAAGUAGGUCCCAAGGGUAUGGCUGUUCGCCAUUUAAAGUGGUACGCGAGCUGGGUUUAGAACGUCGUGAGACAGUUCGGUCCCUAUCUGCCGUGGGCGCUGGAGAACUGAGGGGGGCUGCUCCUAGUACGAGAGGACCGGAGUGGACGCAUCACUGGUGUUCGGGUUGUCAUGCCAAUGGCACUGCCCGGUAGCUAAAUGCGGAAGAGAUAAGUGCUGAAAGCAUCUAAGCACGAAACUUGCCCCGAGAUGAGUUCUCCCUGAGACUUAGAGUCUCCUGAAGGAACGUUGAAGACGACGACGUUGAUAGGCCGGGUGUGUAAGCGCAGCGAUGCGUUGAGCUAACCGGUACUAAUGAACCGUGAGGCUUAACCUU
rnacentral:rRNA from 1 species